rnacentral:rRNA from 1 species
CCUACGGGUGGCUGCAGUGGGGGAUAUUGCACAAUGGGGGGAACCCUGAUGCAGCGACGCCGCGUGGGUGAAGGAGUCUUUCGGUAUGUUAAGCCCUAUCGGCCGGGAAGAAAUUGGACGGUACCUGACUAAGAAGCCUCGGCUAACUACGGGACAGCAGCCGCGGUCAGACGUAGGGGGCACGCGUUAUCCGGAAUCACUGGGUGUAAAGGGAGCGUUGACGGGCAGGCAAGCCUGGAGUGAAAGCCCGGGGCCCAACCCCGGGAGUGCUGGUGAAACUGUCCGGCGUGAGUGCGGGAGGGGCAGGCGGAAUGCGUGGUGUAGCGGUGAAAUGCGUAGAUAUCAGGAGGAACACCGGCGGCGAAGGCGGCCUGCUGGACCGCGACUGACGUUGAGGCUCGAAAGCGUGGGGAGCGAACAGGAUUAGAUACCCGAGUAGUC